CUACGGGCGGCUGCAGUGAGGAAUAUUGCACAAUGGAGGAAACUCUGAUGCAGCAACGCCGCGUGGAGGAUGACGCAUUUCGGUGUGUAAACUCCUUUUAUAUGUCAAGAAAAUGACGGUAGCAUAUGAAUAAGCACCGGCUAACUCCGUGCCAGCAGCCGCGGUAAUACGGAGGGUGCAAGCGUUACUCGGAAUCACUGGGCGUAAAGGACGCGUAGGCGGGAUAUCAAGUCAGGUGUGAAAUCCUACAGCUUAACUGUAGAACUGCACUUGAAACUUCUAAUCUAGAGUAUGGGAGGGGGAGAUGGAAUUAGUGGUGUAGGGGUAAAAUCCGUAGAUAUCACCAGGAAUACCUAAAGCGAAGGCGAUCUCCUGGAACAUUACUGACGCUAAGGCGUGAAAGCGUGGGGAGCAAACAGGAUUAGAUACCCCUGUAGUC
rnacentral:rRNA from 1 species